AGGAAGGUCGGGGCCAUGGGCCGGCACUGCGCCUCGGGAGGGUCCGGCCACCGCUGGAACCCGAGGCCGGGGCUGGGGGCGCUCCGGGCUCCGACCCACGGGCCGGCCGGCCCUGCCCGGGCUGGGUGAGGGGCGCCCGCCUCAAGCUAGAGGAGGAGCGGAGGCCGCGCGCGGCCCGCCGAGCGCCUUCAGGAUGCUCAUCAAGGAAUACCACAUUCUGCUGCCCAUGAGCCUGGACGAGUACCAGGUGGCCCAGCUCUACAUGAUCCAGGAUCUGUAAUCCCAUCGGGGAAGGAAAAAGCGCCCAG
rnacentral:lncRNA from 1 species